rnacentral:rRNA from 1 species
CCUACGGGGGGCAGCAGUGGGGAAUAUUGCGCAAUGGGCGAAAGCCUGACGCAGCGACGCCGCGUGAGGGAUGAAGGUCUUCGGAUCGUAAACCUCUGUCAGCAGGGACGAACGGUCACUGUGCUAAUCAGCAGUGAAUUGAUGGUACCUGCAAAGGAAGCACCGGCUAACUCCGUGCCAGCAGCCGCGGUAAUACGGAGGGUGCGAGCGUUAAUCGGAAUUACUGGGCGUAAAGCGCUCGUAGGCGGUAUGUCAAGUCAAGUGUGAAAUCCCCGCGCUCAACGUGGGAACUGCAUUUGAAACUGGCAAACUAGAGUGUAUGAGCGGAUAAUGGAAUUCCAGGUGUAGGAGUGAAAUCCGUAGAGAUCAGGAGGAACAUCAGUGGCGAAGGCGACUAUCUGGCCCAUAACUGACGCUGAGGAGCGAAAGCGUGGGUAGCAAAUGGGAUUAGAUACCCUUGUAGUC